UGGUGGGAGAAUCGCGGUCAAGAGGACAGUCAGGGAUGUUUUUAAUAACUUUAAUUCCUAUUAAAAGAAAUAUAACAAAGUCAUGUGUUAAAACGUUGGUACGAUAUGAUUAUUUACUGAGAUUGUUAGUGGCCUCAACAGGGGUUAAAGUAUUGUAAACAUAUUGUCCCACCGAGAGUGUAACGUGUCCAUAUCAUUAAAAAAAUGUAAUGUCUACCACUUUUUAUCGUCAACCACUAAAGGGAUGGUGUUAAUCCAGGUGAGGUCCAUGCAGGUGAUAAGAGUACCGUAUGUCCUCCUGGUCCGAAGUGUGGGCAUUUGCUGGCAAUCUCUGGUCCGUUUUUAUAUCGUAUUGCCUUGAGAAGCGAAGUAAUUUUAGGGUUACAUUCUCGUCUUAAAUCUGUAUGUUUGAUACUGUUUUUUUGCCGUCGUUUGAUAACAAUUUAUAUAAUCAUGCAUAAUGCAUUAUAAGUGUAUAACUUGUUUAAUAACGAUAUGGUUGAAAUACUGCAAGUGUGAAUAUAAAUCGUAAAUCAAUCAUUAAGUUCCUACAUUUAGUCCAAAAAGGUCCACAUGAGUCAGUAAGUGAUACUAAAAUUUAA